rnacentral:rRNA from 1 species
UACGGAGGGGGCUAGCGUUGUUCGGAAUUACUGGGCGUAAAGCGCACGUAGGCGGCUUUGUAAGUUAGAGGUGAAAGCCCGGGGCUCAACUCCGGAAUUGCCUUUAAGACUGCAUCGCUAGAAUUGUGGAGAGGUAAGUGGAAUUCCGAGUGUAGAGGUGAAAUUCGUAGAUAUUCGGAAGAACACCAGUGGCGAAGGCGACUUACUGGCCCGGUACUGACGCUGAGGUGCGAAAGCGUGGGGAGCAAACAGG